CCAGGUAGAAAGUGGAAUUCCAUCGCUGUUCGUGGACGAGGAUGUCGCGGAUGUUGCGCGAACAGUAAUUGAGCAGAAGAUAUACGAAGAUGAAGCUUUUUUCAUUUGCGACGUAAGGGAAAUUAAGCGCAAGGUUUCUCUCUGGCAGCAAGAACUGCCGGGAAUACAGCCAUAUUACUGUGUGAGAUGCUGCUCAGAUUACGUCGUCCUGCGCACUCUGAGCUUGAGCGGAGUAAAUUUUGCAUGUGGAUC